rnacentral:pre_miRNA from 1 species
GGUUGGGUUACAGGGCAAAUACUCCAUUGGAAGAUAAUUUCCACUACAUAUAUAUAUCAUUUGAAUAUUAGUUUUGCCUGAUAUAUAUGUAUGAAAGAAACACUUUGCUGCCAAAGGAGAUUUGCCCUGCAAUCCAUCU